AACUAACGCUGGCGGCGCGUCUUACACAUGCAAGUCGAACGGCAGCACGGGUGCUUGCACCUGGUGGCGAGUGGCGAACGGGUGAGUAAUGCACCGGAACGUAUCCAAUAAUGGGGGAUAACGCACCGAAAGGUGUGCUAAUACCGCAUACGCCCUGAGGGGGAAAGCGGGGGAUCGUAAGACCUCGCGUUAAUGGAGCGGCCGAUGCCGGAUUAGCUAGUUGGUGGGGUAAAGGCCUACCAAGCCUGCGAUCUGUAGCUGGUCUGAGAGGGCGACCAGCCACACUGGGACUGAGACACGGCCCAGACUCCUACGGGAGGCAGCAGUGGGGAAUUUUGGACAAUGGGGGGCAACCCUGAUCCAGCCAUGCCGCGUGAGUGAAGAAGGCCUUCGGGUUGUAAA
rnacentral:rRNA from 1 species